CGCCGACCCUCUAGCCCAACAGCACACUCAAAAUAACCCUAAACAACAAACAAAUCAUUUGACACCACAAGUAGAGGCGAUCAAACACACACACUGGCGCCAUAGAAAAAGUACCGCAAGGGAACAAUGAAAUAACAAUGAAAUACAAGCACAAAAAAGCAUAGCUCACCCCUAGUACCUCUUGCACCAUGGUCUAGCAAGCCAAAUCAGGUAAAACGCACUUGCAAUCUGACUUCCCGAAAACACGCGAGCUAUUUUAAAGCAGCAUGAUGUGCGCACCCGUUUCUGUAGCAAAAGAAUGGGACGACUUUAAAAUAGAGGUGAAAUGCCUAUCGAGCGAGUAGAUAGCUGGUUGCUCAACUAAACGAAUCUAAGUUCGACUUCAAACCACAACAACACCUCACAUGUACCAACAAUGUUUGAAAGCUAUUCAACCGGGGUACAGCCCGGUUGAACACGGACACAGCCCACACCGAGAGACACACACGAACUAUUUUAAGCGUAAGCCUUGAAGCCGCUACCACACACCAUCGCGUCAAAGCACCAAACCAACAAAUCCCACCCACAAUUCGGACCUCCGGAGCACAAACUGAGCCACUCCACGCAUACGUGGAAGAGACACUGCUAGAACUAGUAAUACGGCACCCUUUGCCUCACUACGCACACCUGUAAUCAAAAACAUUAUCUAGCCAAAAAACUGAAAGAUAAUCACCACCCUACGCCACACUAUUCACACACACUAUUGACCCAACACUGGCGUGCGACAAGCGAAGACAAAAUACCAUAAAAGGAACUCGACAACCACCGACCCCAACUGUUUAUCAAAAACAUAGCCUUUAGCAACUCUAUAAGUAUUAAAGGUGCCGCCUGCCCAGUGACACCAGUUAAACGGCCGCGGUAUCCUAACCGUGCAAAGGUAGCGCAAUCACUUGUUCUUUAAAUAAGGACCCGUAUGAAUGGCUACAUGAGGGCCGACUUGUCUCUUAUGGUAAGUCAAUGAAACUGAUCUCCCAGUACAAAAGCUGGAAUACACACACAAGACGAGAAGACCCCGUGGAGCUUUAAACUCACCAGCUACCAACGUUAAGCCGGAAAGUUUUUGGUUGGGGCAACCUCGGAGAACAACAAAACCUCCGAUACACCACACAGCCACGGCCAACACGCCAAAGCCACCGAACACACGACCCAAUAAAAUUGAUUAAAGAACCAAGUUACCCCGGGGAUAACAGCGCAAUCUUCUUUUAGAGUCCCUAUCGACAAGAAGGUUUACGACCUCGAUGUUGGAUCAGGGUACCCAGAUAGUGCAGCCGCUAUUAACGGUUCGUUUGUUCAACGAUUAACAACCCUACGUGAUCUGAGUUCAGACCGGAGCAAUCCAGGUCGGUUUCUAUCUAUGCCGCGCCACUCCCUCUGUACGAAAGGACCCGAGAGUGGGGGCCACUGGUCACACUACGCCCCGGAAACACGGCUGAAUACAACUGAAGCCGCAAAGCCACCAACCAAGCGAAAGAAAAUCGCAAC
rnacentral:rRNA from 1 species